UACAGAGGGGGCAAGCGUUGUUCGGAAUUACUGGGCGUAAAGGGCGCGUAGGCGGCCUUCUAAGUCGAACGUGAAAUCCCCGGGCUCAACCCGGGAACUGCGUCCGAUACUGGAAGGCUUGAAUCCGGGAGAGGGAUGCGGAAUUCCAGGUGUAGCGGUGAAAUGCGUAGAUAUCAGGAGGAACACCAAUUGCGAAGGCAGCUCGCUGGGACGUAACUGACGCUGAGACGCGAAAGCGUGGGGAGCAAACAGG
rnacentral:rRNA from 1 species